GACCUGCGGAAGGAUCAUUACCGAGUGCGGGUUCGAACGAGCCCAACCUCCCACCCGUGUUUACUGUUACCGCGUUGCCUCGGCGGGCCCACUGGGGCCUGGCCCCGGUCGCCGGGGGGCUUCUGCCCCCGGGCCCGCUCCCGCCGAAGCACCCUAGAACCCUGCCUGAACAGUGAGUCUGAGUGAGAUUUUAAAUCAUUAAAACUUUCAACAACGGAUCUCUUGGUUCCGGCAUCGAUGAAGAACGCAGCGAAAUGCGAUAAGUAAUGUGAAUUGCAGAAUUCCGUGAAUCAUCGAAUCUUUGAACGCACAUUGCGCCCCCUGGCAUUCCGGGGGGCAUGCCUGUCCGAGCGUCAUUUCUGCCCUCCAGCACGGCUGGGUGUUGGGCGCUGUCCCCCCGGGGACACGCCCCAAAAGCAGUGGCGGCGCCGCGUCGGGUCCUCGAGCGUAUGGGGCUCUGUCACCCGCUCGGGAGGGACUCGGUCGGCGCUGGUCUUCCCUUUAGGCCGCCCUUCGGGGUGCGCCUCUUCCGGUUGACCUCGGAUCAGGUAGGGCUACCCGCUGAACUUAAGCAUAUCAAUAAGCGGAGGAAAAGAACCAACAGGGAUUGCCUCAGUAACGGCGAGUGAAGCGGCAAGAGCUCAAAUUUGAAAUCUGGCUCCUUCGGGGCCCGAGUUGUAAUUUGGAGAGGAUGCUUCGGGCGUGGCCCCUAUCUAAGUGCCC
rnacentral:rRNA from 1 species